rnacentral:rRNA from 1 species
CCUACGGGAGGCUGCAGUGAGGAAUAUUGGUCAAUGGACGAGAGUCUGAACCAGCCAAGUCGCGUGAAGGAUGACUGCCCUAUGGGUUGUAAACUUCUUUUAUAUGGGAGUAAACUGAUUUACGUGUGUGUUUUUGUGUGUACCAUAUGAAUAAGUAUCGGCUAACUCCGUGCCAGCAGCCGCGGUAAUACGGAGGAUCCGAGCGUUAUCCGGAUUUAUUGGGUGUAAAGGGUGCGUAGGUGGAAUGUUAAGUCAGUUGUGAAAGUUUGCGGGUCAACAGUCAAAUUGCAGUUGAUACUGGCAGUCUAGAGAACAGGAGAGGUAGGCGGAAUGCGUGGUGUAGCGGUGAAAUGCUUAGAUAUCACGAAGAACACCGAUUGCGAAGGCAGCUCACUGGACUGCAACUGACACUGAGGCACGAAAGUGUGGGUAGCAAACAGGAUUAGAUACCCGAGUAGUC